rnacentral:lncRNA from 1 species
AUGUCUCGCAAAACUCCAGAUCCUCUCUCUCUCUCUCUCUCGCUCUACGACUCAAGAACAUCAUGCCAGAUCUCUCAUCAGAUGCCGUUUCAUGACAAGAUCGUUGAAGUGGUUCGACACCUGAGCUCUGGUGGAGGAGACUAGGGUUUCGGCGAAGAUAAAGCCAUCGGAGGCUGAACCACCGGUGCAGGUAUCAUCUUCAUCAUCUAAACUAUCAUUGUUGGGAACAUGGAUGCCGUUUAUUGUUUACAAUUAGAUCCAUUGGCAGCUAUUGAACCAUCUUUCUUCAAGAUUACGGGUCGGAGCGGUUGCAGGCGGAACAUAUCCAGCAAUUGGAGUGGAUACAACCUGGUUAAGAAACAGGGCUCGAAGGCGGUAUACCUUCCAUAAAAUGGUCUGGUGUAGAUGGAGAGGAUAAUGUUUUAAUUAUUGAUUUGCUAGGACCGAGUCUUGAGGACCUGUUUGUG